rnacentral:rRNA from 1 species
UAGAUACCCUGGUAGUCCAUGCCGUAAACGUUGGGCACUAGGUGUGGGUCUCAACCAACGAGAUCCGCGCCGUCGCUAACGCAUUAAGUGCCCCGCCUGGGGAGUACGGUCGCAAGACUAAAACUCAAAGGAAUUGACGGGGGCCCGCACAAGCAGCGGAGCGUGUUGCUUAAUUCGAUGCAACGCGAAGAACCUUACCUGGGUUUGACAUGUAGGGAAAAGCUCUAGAGAUAGGGUGUCCUUCGGGGCC